UACAGAGGUCUCAAGCGUUGUUCGGAUUCAUUGGGCGUAAAGGGUGCGUAGGCUGGCGCCGUAAGUCGGGUGUGAAAUUCGAGCUUAACUCCGAAACUGCAUUCGAUACUGCGGUGCUUCGAGGACUGGAGAGGAGACUGGAAUUAUCGGUGUAGCGUGAAAUGCGUAGAGUAUCAUGAGGAAGACCAGUGGCGAAGGCGGGUCUCUGGACAGUUCCUGACGCUGAGGCACGAAGGCCAGGGGAGCAAACGGGAUUAGAAC
rnacentral:rRNA from 1 species